rnacentral:misc_RNA from 1 species
GCAAACUUGGUCAUUUAGAGGAAGUAAAAGUCGUAACAAGGUUUCCGUAGGUGAACCUGCGGAAGGAUCAUUAUUGAAAAUAAUUGGUUUGUAUUGUUGCUGGCUUGUGAAAAGCAUGUGCACGUACUCUCCAUUUUUUUUUCUUUAAACCACUUGUGAACUAUUUGUAGGCCUUAGAUCUUUUCAAACCUGUUGUUCAACAGGCGUUUUGGAGUACUGGAUUGCCGGAACGAAUGUGACUGGCUUUUCUGCGCUUGGGUCUAUAUAUUUAUCAAUCAUCCAGCACGUAUAUGAAUGCUAUGAAUGUAAAAACCUUAAUACAACUUUCAACAACGGAUCUCUUGGCUCUCGCAUCGAUGAAGAACGCAGC